UACGGGGGGGGCAAGCGUUGUUCGGAAUUACUGGGCGUAAAGGGCUCGUAGGCGGCCAACUAAGUCAAACGUGAAAUCCCUCGGCUUAACCGGGGAACUGCGUCUGAUACUGGAAGGCUUGAAUCCGGGAGAGGGAUGCGGAAUUCCAGGUGUAGCGGUGAAAUGCGUAGAUAUCUGGAGGAACACCGGUGGCGAAGGCGGCAUCCUGGACCGGCAUUGACGCUGAGGCGCGAAAGCCAGGGGAGCAAACGGG
rnacentral:rRNA from 1 species